AUGGGGGGAUGUGUCUCCACCAUAUCUUCACUCCCGAAAGGGAGAGCGGAGUUCCCUUUCUGAAGUGCACAACGUAAUUAAAACCCACAGGGUUUCUUAUUUUUUUUAGACAAAAGAAGCAGAAGAGUGGUGGCUGGCAGCAGAAAGUAGGUUCAGAAGACAGGGAAAGAUCUCUCUCUCUCUCUCUCUCUCUCUCUCUCUCUCUCUCUCACACACACACACACACACACACACACACACGUGUCCAUCGAGGCAACUAAGGACUCCCCUCCUAAAGACCCACGAGCUCCCGCGCUACUUGUGGCAGGUGCUGGAACGCGCCCCCCGCGCACGGCCACUCGGGCAGCCCCAGAGGCUGCGCGCACAUCACCUCCGUGGCUAGAAUCCUAUAUGGAAGGGAUGAGCCAAAACAAAACACCCGGGUGGGGGGGGGGGGAAGCAGGCAUCACAAGGCGACCCAGACAAAAGGAAAAUAGGACACCAUUCCAAAAAAGGAAAAGGAUGGGGAGCAGCAGCAGCAACCCCGAACCCGCAUCCACCGAGCGUCACCCAACCCAGAGUCAGGAGUCACGGAGAGAAGGAAAACAGCCCGAGAUAUCAGUUACACAUACAAGCUUCGACCUUCGUUCUGCUUGGCGCCUCCUGCACACGUUGUUGUUUGUAAGGAACGUGAAAAUUAAGUUCGGAAGUUGGCCCCUAGGAUGCGAACGUCUUUCCUGUUUACAGAAUGCGCAACUGUGAUUCUCUCUCAUACAGAGAGACACUAGAAAAUUAUCGUCAUAGAAUAAAAUCUGACCGAUAGAAUAAAAAAUGGUCUCUCUCUCUCCCCCCCCCCCGAACUUUGUCUCCCUUUGCAAAUAAAAAGAACGCCCAGCUCUAUGA